AGGCCAGUGAUUAGGCCUUGAUCAACAGCACCUGCCAGGAAAUGCUCUAGAGCAGAGGGUGGAAAGAAACACACACACAUACACUGCGCACCAACACAGAGCCCUGACAGUCUAUGGAAGCGAUGGAGAGAUCAAAGAGAAACAAGAUCCGAAACAAGAAGCAUGCAUUUUUCUGUGGCUAAGAGUAUGGACUUCCAGCAACAAAGAAAUCAAGCAAAUAGGGCUCAGCAAUUUUCCUUUUCUCAGAAUAUAAGUUUUUAUUUUUUAUACCCAUUCAUUCUACACCCAGUUUCCCGGAUGAGGUAUCCAGAGUGUGACAGAUCCAAGUUUCCGGAGUGCACCAUGGCUGGCUGCUGACUGAGGCAGGAUGAUGAGGUCAGCAGGUGAAUGUGCAUCAAUGGACUUGGAGGGGUGGCACCGGAAAUGUCAUGAAUGCCUGUCCGCACUAAUGCAAGGUCCUGUCCCUGUCAUCAUGCAGAUGGUUAGCUGUGUGGAGAAGAAUUAAUGUAGAUAGUGAAAAGUAAAAACGUUUUGACUCUCCAAAGAUUUUUGCUUUCUAAAGCAAAAUGCUCAAAUAAAGUAGACUUUGCUUUUUA